GACGAACGCUGGCGGCGUGCCUAAUACAUGCAAGUAGAACGCUGAAGGAGGAGCUUGCUCUUCUGGAUGAGUUGCGAACGGGUGAGUAACGCGUAGGUAACCUGCCUGGUAGCGGGGGAUAACUAUUGGAAACGAUAGCUAAUACCGCAUAAGAGUAGAUGUUGCAUGACAUUUGCUUAAAAGGUGCAAUUGCAUCACUACCAGAUGGACCUGCGUUGUAUUGGCUAGUUGGUGGGGUAACGGCUCACCAAGGCGACGAUACAUAGCCGACCUGAGAGGGUGAUCGGCCACACUGGGACUGAGACACGGCCCAGACUCCUACGGGAGGCAGCAGUAGGGGAUCUUCGGCAAUGGACGGAAGUCUGACCGAGCAACGCCGCGUGAGUGAAGAAGGUUUUCGGAUCGUAAAGCUCUGUUGUAAGAGAAGAACGAGUGUGAGAGUGGAAAGUUCACACUGUGACGGUAUCUUACCAGAAAGGGACGGCUAACUACGUG
rnacentral:rRNA from 1 species